rnacentral:rRNA from 1 species
CGGAAAGGGGACCUGCGGAAGGAUCAUUAGUGAAUAUAGGACGUCCAACUUAACUUGGAGUCCGAACUCUCACUUUCUAACCCUGUGCACUUGUUUGGGAUAGUAACUCUCGCAAGAGAGCGAACUCCUAUUCACUUAUAAACACAAAGUCUAUGAAUGUAUUAAAUUUUAUAACAAAAUAAAACUUUCAACAACGGAUCUCUUGGCUCUCGCAUCGAUGAAGAACGCAGCGAAAUGCGAUAAGUAAUGUGAAUUGCAGAAUUCAGUGAAUCAUCGAAUCUUUGAACGCACCUUGCGCUCCAUGGUAUUCCGUGGAGCAUGCCUGUUUGAGUGUCAUGAAUACUUCAACCCUCCUCUUUCUUAAUGAUUGAAGAGGUGUUUGGUUUCUGAGCGCUGCUGGCCUUUACGGUCUAGCUCGUUCGUAAUGCAUUAGCAUCCGCAAUCGAACUUCGGAUUGACUUGGCGUAAUAGACUAUUCGCUGAGGAAUUCUAGUCUUCGGACUAGAGCCGGGUUGGGUUAAAGGAAGCUUCUAAUCAGAAUGUCUACAUUUUAAGAUUAGAUCUCAAAUCAGGUAGGACUACCCGCUGAACUUAAGCAUAUCAAUAAGCCGGAGGAAAGG